GACGAGCCCGGGACGGCCCCCGCUCGGCGGGGCGAGGGGGGUGCUGUCAGCCCGCGGCGGGGCUCCGCUGCGCUCUGCUCGGUGAGGCUCCGUGAGGCUCGGCGCGGGGAUGGCGGUGCCGGAGCCGGACGCGCGGCUGGCGCAGGAGAAGGAGGAGGAGAGCGAGGAGGAGAGCGAGAUCCUGGAGGAGAGCCCCUGCGGGCGCUGGCAGAAGCGCCGCGAGCAGGUGAAUCAGGGAAACAUGCCGGGCAUCCAGAGCACCUUCCUUGCCAUGGACACAGAGGAGGGUGUGGAGGUGGUGUGGAAUGAGCUGCUUUUCACUGACAAGAAGGCCUUUAAAGCACACGAGGAGAAGAUCAAGACCAUGUUUGAGCAGCUGGUGCUUGUGGAUCACCCCAACAUUGUGAAGCUUCACAAAUACUGGCUGGAUGUGAAGGACUCGAAGGCGCGGGUCAUCUUCAUCACAGAAUAUGUGUCCUCAGGGAGCCUGAAACAGUUCCUGAAGAAAACCAAGAAAAACCACAAGGCCAUGAAUGCCAGGGCCUGGAAGCGCUGGUGCACCCAGAUCCUGUCUGCUCUCAGCUUCCUGCACUCCUGUGAGCCUCCCAUCAUCCACGGCAAUCUCACCAGUGACACCAUCUUCAUCCAGCACAAUGGGCUCAUAAAGAUUGGUUCAGUUUGGCACAGGGUGUUUGCAAAUGCCCUUCCAGACGACCUGCGAAGCCCCAUCAGGAUUGAGAGGGAAGAGCUGCGCAAUUUGCAUUUCUUUCCCCCGGAGUAUGGCCAAAAGGCUGAUGGGACUGCUGUGGACAUCUUCUCCUUUGGGAUGUGUGCACUGGAGAUGGCAGUACUGGAGAUCCAGACCAACGGGGACACACGAGUCUCGGAGGAGGCAAUCGUGCGGGCACGACAUUCUCUGGAUGAUCCCAACAUGCGGGAGUUCAUUCUGUCAUGCUUGACCCUCAACCCAGACAAGCGACCGACGGCUAACAACCUGCUCUUCCACCGUGUGCUUUUUGAGGUCCAUUCCCUUAAGCUGCUGGCAGCACAUUGCUUCAUCAACAACCAGUAUCUGAUGCCAGAGAAUGUGGUGGAGGAGAAGAUAAAAGAACUGGACCUGAACAUGGUGAUGGCAGAGAUUCGGCGAGAGGGUCGGCCUGGAGCACAGUGGAGGUACUCAGAGGUUUCCUUCCUUGAACUUGACAAAUUCUUAGAAGAUGUCAGGAAUGGGAUUUAUCCUCUGAUGAACUUCGCUGUUUCCAGACCCCAUGCCCUCCCACGCGCACUCUCCCAGCCCCCGGAGGACACUCAGAAAGCCAAGACCCCUACCCCAGAGCCCUUUGAUGUGGAGACCAGGAAGGUGGUGCAAAUGCAAUGUAACAUGGAGCUGAAUGAAGACAAGACCCAGUGGCAUCUCACUCUUCUGCUGAUCUUGGAGGACAAAUUGCAUCGACAGUUGAGCUACGACUUGCUGCCCACUGAUAACUCCAAGGACUUAGCCACAGAGCUGGUGCAUUAUGGAUUCAUCCACGAGUUAGGAAUUCUGGGGCUGUAGGCAAAGUUUUGGAGAAUUCCUCAUUCUGGAUGCUGACAUUAGACAAGGAAGGGGUCAGCUUCACUGAAUGAAAAAUAUAUGACGACUGUGAAAAGCUGGCUAACUUCCUGGAAAAUGCCUUCCACAAAUACCGGUCUCCUCCCUUGUGAGUCGCUUUGCUGCAGUCUGGGACAGCAGGGUCUCCUGUGCCACAGGGACAGGCAGCACACCAGACGAGAAGACUGCAGGGCUUCUGACCAAACCUCCUCCAGCGGGACCGACCAGACCACUCGCUCCAGACUGAAUCUUUGCAGUCCAUGAGAGGUGUAUGCCUUAGCUGUGGCGUGGAAAGACAACAGCAAGUGGAGGAGUAACCAGCAAAUACGGGAUGGCCUGUGCACGAGUAUGUGCUCUGGCCCCCAGUCAUGAAGCAGUAAGCCAGAGGGAGUUGAGGUGUGAGGGAGUGCAGUAGCACUUCUUCAAUCCCUUGCUGAUGGUAUUUGUGAAGAUACAAAGCUGCUGCAAGACUUCCCCAAACUGAUAAAUUUGCCUCUGGGAAUUAUAAGCUUUUCUCACUGCAGGUCCCAAAGCUAUUUUAAUUUUUCCUCUUUGCCAGCUGGUGAUACAUGCAGAAGAGAGGAGAGGAGCAGGAUUGGAAAGCUCUGGUGCAGUUUCCAAUCUGCCACAUUCUGUUCUUUAUACCCAGUUAUUCCUGUUUUGAUUUCUCCAGCACAGAUAAAACACUGUGAUGCCUUGUAAUUAGAAUUGCACACUUUGGUGUAAGCUGAAGAGUGGACUUUGUGAGCUGGACUUGACAUGGCAGGAGAAGAUUCCAGAAAUCCAAAUCUACCAGCUGGAUCCUAACAUGUCAAAAACGUGGAAACGCCACUGGUGCUGAACAAACCCUUGUCAUUCUCCUGUUUGUCUUAGGCCUUCCAAAAUCUCAUGACAUCUUAAGGGGGAAACCCCUGAUGUCUCUUCCUCCCGUUUCUCCUAGAGUAUUUGUAACUUCUGUCAUUAGUGUGGAGAAAGGGGCAAUCUUAGCUGCAGUGCAUGUCAGGCUCAAUUGGUGAAAAUUGCAAACAGGAAUUCUUUGUGUAGCAAGAGCUAUGCAGUGCUGCUCCAUGCCGUUCACGUUGUGCUGUGUGGUGCCAGCGGCCUCACGCUGUGCUGCUGUGCUGUGCUGUGCCAGGUCCUCCGUGCCUGCAUUACGCUUUGCGGUGUUGCACCAACUGUAUUACACUGGGCUGGGUUUGCCAUGCUACGAUGCUACGCUGAGCUGUCAAAUUGUGCUGUGUUUUCCCAGUUGUGCUGCGCUGUGCCAACUUUACAGAAACUGACAAAUCAAUAAAGCCAUUGAAAGCAGCUUAUCUCAUCAGAGGAGCUGAUCCACUGA